rnacentral:rRNA from 1 species
CCUACGGGAGGCAGCAGUGAGGAAUAUUGGUCAAUGGACGCGAGGCUGAACCAGCCAAGUCGCGUGAGGGAAGACGGCCCUAUGGGUUGUAAACCUCUUUUAUCGGGGAGCAAAAUGCGCCACGCGUGCCUUUUUGAGAGUACCCUAAGAAAAAGCAUCGGCUAACUCCGUGCCAGCAGCCGCGGUAAUACGGAGGAUGCGAGCGUUAUCCGGAUUUAUUGGGUUUAAGGGGUGCGCAGGCGGAAGAUAAAGUCAGAGGUAAAAUUGAGAGGCUCAACCUCAUAGGGCCGUUGAAACUGGUUUUCUUGAGUGCGUGAGGAGUAGGCGGAAUGCGUGGUGUAGCGGUGAAAUGCAUAGAUAUCACGCAGAACUCCGAUUGCGAAGGCAGCAUACCGGCGCGCAACUGACGCUCAUGCACGAAAGUGUGGGUAUCGAACAGGAUUAGAUACCCGAGUAGUC